rnacentral:rRNA from 1 species
UACGUAGGGGGCAAGCGUUGUCCGGAAUCAUUGGGCGUAAAGCGCGUGUAGGCGGUCCGAUAAGUCGGCUGUGAAAGUCAAGGGCUCAACCCUUGAAUGCCGGCCGAUACUGUCGGGCUAGAGUCCGGAAGAGGUGAGUGGAAUUCCUGGUGUAGCGGUGAAAUGCGCAGAUAUCAGGAGGAGCACCAAUGGCGAAGGCAGCUCACUGGGACGGUACUGACGCUGAGACGCGAAAGCGUGGGGAGCAAACAGG